ACUCAAAUGAAUAGACGGGGGCCCGCACAAGCAGCGGAGCGUGUGGUUUAAUUCGAUGCAACGCGCAGAACCUUACCCAGGCUUGACAUGGCGGCAGUAGGCCCCCGAAAGGGGACCGAACCGUUGAGUCGGUAACCGCCACAGAUGCUGCAUGGCUGUCGUCAGCUCGUGCCGUGAGGUGUUGGGUUAAGUCCCGCAACGAGCGCAACCCUCGUCGCCAGUUACCGUUUCUGGCGAGACCGCCGGGAUCAACCCGGAGGAAGGUGGGGAUGACGUCAAGUCAGCACGGCUCUUACGUCUGGGGCUACACACACGCUACAAUGGGCGGUACAACGGGCAGCGAAGGGGCGACCCGGAGCGAAUCCCAGCAAAGCCGUCCUCAGUGGGGAUCGGAGGCUGCAACUCGCCUCCGUGAACGCGGAGUUGCUAGUAACCGCCGGUCAGCACACGGCGGUGAAUACGUUCCCGGGCCUUGCACACACCGCCCGU
rnacentral:rRNA from 1 species